AACGAACGCUGGCGGCAUGCCUAACACAUGCAAGUCGAACGAGACCUUCGGGUCUAGUGGCGCACGGGUGCGUAACGCGGGGGAACCUGCCCUUAGGUUCGGAAUAACUGCCCGAAAGGGGUGCAAAUCCCGGAUAAUGUCUUCGAACCAAAGAUUUAUCGCCUUUGGAUGGGCCCGCGUUGGAUUAGCUAGUUGGUAGGGUAAAAGACUACCAAGGCGACGAUCGAUAGCUGCUCUCAGAGGAUGCUCAGCCACGCUGGGACGGAGACACGGUCCAGACUCCUGAGGGAGGAAGCAGUGCCGAACUGUGGAGAAUGGGCGAAGGGGUGAUUAAGCGAUGUUGGGUGAAGGACGAAUGCCUUAGGGCCGGAAAAUGCAUUAGUACCGGAGGUUAAGAAACUUUUUUACACCGGGGGGUAAUGAAGGUACCGGAAGAAUAAGCACCGGGUAACUUCGUG
rnacentral:rRNA from 1 species